UACGUAGGGGGCAAGCGUUGUCCGGAUUUAUUGGGCGUAAAGCGCGUGUAGGCGGUCCGGUAAGUCCGCUGUGAAAGUCGGGGGCUCAACCCUCGGAUGCCGGUGGAUACUGUCGGGCUUGAGUACGGAAGAGGCGAGUGGAAUUCCUGGUGUAGCGGUGAAAUGCGCAGAUAUCAGGAGGAACACCAAUUGCGAAGGCGGCUCGCUGGGACGUUACUGACGCUGAGACGCGAAAGCGUGGGGAGCAAACAGG
rnacentral:rRNA from 1 species